AUUCUUCAAACACUCCAUCAAAAUAUUUCCAAGCUUCCCUUCAUCAAUGGCCUCCACCACUUUCUCAAUAUCUUCUCCAGGGCUAACCUUCUUUGCUCCACUCAACAGUUGAGUCCCCACUUCAUUUCUCACGAAUCGGUAGAUUGGGUAAGUGCUGCAUUUCUUGAUUCUAUUUUCAAUUUCGAAAUCACCAUUCUCGAAUCUCCCUCUUGCAUUUUCAACAUCUUUUUCCAAUUUCGCCUUUAAUUCCUCGAGAAACUCUGGAAUUUGCUUGAAUAUGGCAAUCCCUGUUUCGUUUCCGUUAUCUGUUUUGCCUGUUGCAACUCCUUUCAAUGCUUUUUCAACUAGAACUUCUAGUAAUUUUGGGAUUAGGGUGUAGGAUGUGUUGGUGGGAUCGUCGAUGUAGGAGAAGACUUCCUCGCGCUCGAUUACUUGCAAGAGAUCUUUCUCACAAAAUCGUGAUUCGAGAAGUGAUCCAUACUCUGCCAUGUAGAGUGUUUUUCUGAUGGUUUGUAGAAGAGCAUUUUUCACUACCUCCCUCAUAUUUUCUUCGAAUUGUCUUAAAUCGAUUGCUUGGCAAAGCGCUACCAUGUAUGUAGCAGACAUGAGCUUUAGUAUUUCAAUGGCUUCAGCGGAUUUUCUGGCUGAGAUUAAACCUAGAGAGUUUACAUCUUGAUUGUGUUGUUCUGCACUUUGGACAUGGGUAGUGACAGGAUUUGCUAAGUAUUGGAGCUCAGAGCAAUAAGCAGCCAUGGCGAUUUCCGCCCCUUUGAAGCCGUAGUCCAAGCUAGGAUUUGGUCCGCCGCUCAAAUUAGAUGGUAAUCCAUUAUUGUAAUGAUGACAUACGAGUUCAGAGAAUUGGGCAAACAUUAGCUUUCCAAUUGCAGCGAUGGCGAUUCGAAGAUUAUCCAUGGAAACUCCAAUUGGGGUCCCCUGAAAGUUUCCUCCAUGUACAGCUACAUCUCGACUAACAUCAAUUAAUGGGUUAUCAUUCACAGAGUUAAUUUCCCUUUCGAUCGAAUGAGUUGCCAUUCGAAUGACUUCGAUUUGGGGUCCGAGCCAUUGUGGAGAGGUUCGAAGUGCAUAACGAUCUUGUUUUGGCUUUGUCAAUGGGUCAUUUUCAUUGCAGAUUUUUGCUUCUUUCAUGAAAUCGCUUUGGUUCAAGAGGAACUCCAUGACUGCAGCGGAUUCAAUCUGACCGGGGUGGUGCUUAAGCUUAUGGGUUAACGGGUCUGUAAAUUC
rnacentral:lncRNA from 1 species